GUAGCGGUGAUUCAGUGGUAGAAUUCUCACCUUCCAUGCAGGAGACUUGGGUUCGAUUCCCAGUCAAUGCA
rnacentral:tRNA from 1 species